rnacentral:rRNA from 1 species
CCUACGGGUGGCAGCAGUGGGGAAUAUUGGGCAAUGGAGGCAACUCUUACCCAGCAAUGCCGCGUGAAUGAAGAAGGUCUUCGGAUUGUAAAGUUCUUUAAAUGGGGACGAAAAAAAUGACGGUACCCAAGUAAUAAGCCCCGGCUAACUACGUGCCAGCAGCCGCGGUAAUACGUAGGGGGCAAGCGUUGUUCGGAAUGACUGGGCGUAAAGGGUGUGUAGGCGGUGUAGCAAGUUAGAAGUGAAAUACCUAGGGCUUAACUCAGGUGCUGCUUCUAAAACUGGUAUACUUGAGUGCAGUAGAGGAAAGUGGAAUUCCUGGUGUAGCAGUGGAAUGCGUAGAUAUUAGGAAGAACAUCAGUCGCGAAGGCGACUUUCUGAACUGUAACUGACGCUGAGGCACGAAAGUGUGGGGAGCAAACAGGAUUAGAUACCCCGGUAGUC